rnacentral:tRNA from 2 species
GCCCGAGUGGCGGAAUGGUAGACGCAGGGGAUUCAAAAUCCCCCGCCGCAAGGCGUGUGGGUUCGAAUCCCACCUCGGGCA